rnacentral:lncRNA from 1 species
UACUACAGAAAACAAGAUCAAUUGUACAUUAACAACACAGAAAAUUGAAGCCCUUGUUUACAAAAAAAAAAAGAAAAAAAUCAUUACCCUCUAUGAGAAAGGAAAGCAACUUACCAUUUUUCCCCGAGUACAGAAGCUUUCCAGGCCGCUUUCAAUAAAUAGGUCCACUCAUGUUCAGAGUACUACAAAAUAGAGCAUACAACCAACAAUGAUGUGUAUUUCCUCUAUAAUACAAAUUGCAACAACAUAAUUAUUUAUGCUAAAAAUGCAUUUGAUAGUGUUUCUAUUCUAAAUACUUUUAGUGGAGGUGAUUUGGAGAAUUAUCAAUCAAGUGCUUCUCCAGGAACCACUACAAGUUAUUUUUCAACUUCCUAAAAGCACUUACUAAAUUUUAUUAAGCACUUGAGUUUUCUUUAAAAACAUUUUUUAUGCUAGAAGUGAUUUUUAAAAGCAUUGCCAAAUGAACUCUUAAAGAUUAUUUCUACGUAGUGCAUGGUUAUGCUAUGUAUUUUUAUACUAAAAUUCACCAAACAAAGGUUUCGUUUUUCACCAUGUUUGAUACCAUGAAAGAGAAAAGAAGAGAAUAAACAAGAUAUUAC